rnacentral:rRNA from 1 species
UACGGAGGAUGCAAGCGUUAUCCGGAUUUAUUGGGUUUAAAGGGUGCGUAGGCGGCCUUGUAAGUCAGCGGUGAAGUUUUGCAGCUUAACUGUAAAAGUGCCGUUGAUACUGUGAGGCUAGGAUUUGGUUGCUGUGGGUGGAAUGUGUGGUGUAGCGGUGAAAUGCUUAGAUAUCACACAGAAUAUCGAUUGCGAAGGCAGCUCACAAAGCCAAGAUUGACGCUGAGGCACGAAAGUGUGGGGAUCAAACAGGAUUA